rnacentral:rRNA from 1 species
GGGAAUUUUGCGCAAUGGGGGAAACCCUGACGCAGCAACGCCGCGUGAGUGAUGAAGGCCUUCGGGUCGUAAAGCUCUGUCAGAGGGGAAGAAAUGCAGGGGUGCUAAUAUCAUCUUUGCUUGACGGUACCCUCAAAGGAAGCACCGGCUAACUCCGUGCCAGCAGCCGCGGUAAUACGGAGGGUGCGAGCGUUGUUCGGAAUUAUUGGGCGUAAAGCGCGCGUAGGCGGUUUGGUAAGGCUGAUGUGAAAGCCCCGGGCUCAACCUAGGAAGUGCAUUGGAAACUGUCAGACUUGAAUACGGGAGAGGGUAGUGGAAUUCCUAGUGUAGGAGUGAAGUCAGUAGAUAUUAGGAGUAACACCAGUGGCGAGGGCGGCUACCUGGACCGAUAUUGACGCUGAGACGCGAAAGCGUGGGGAGCAAA